GGAUUUAAGGGCGAUCUGGCCACGACAUCUGUCACCCCAUUGAUCACCAGGGUUGAUUCAGCUGAUCUGGCUGGCUAGGCGGGUGUCCCCUUCCUCCCUCACCACUCCACGUGCAUCCCUCCCAAAGCUACAUGCUGGGUGGAAGAGGAUGGCCUUCCCCGAAUAGAGACGGACCGGUCUUCAGUCAAGGGUAUACGAGUAGCUGCGCUCCCCUGCUAGAACCUCCAAGAUUUUGAUUCAGAGACUUAGAUGCAGGUGCUAUGAACUAUAUAUAAAUGGUGAU
rnacentral:snRNA from 1 species